CCUACGGGCGGCUGCAGUGGGGAAUUUUGCGCAAUGGGCGAAAGCCUGACGCAGCAACGCCGCGUGUGUGACGAAGGCCCUAGGGUUGUAAAGCACUGUGGGAGGGGAAGAAAAAACGGGGGUUGUACCCCGUCUUGACGGUACCCUGUUAGAAAGCACCGGCUAACUCCGUGCCAGCAGCCGCGGUAAUACGGAGGGUGCAAGCGUUGUUCGGAAUUAUUGGGCGUAAAGGGCGCGUAGGUGGCUGUCCAAGUCUGGUGUGAAAGCCCACGGCUCAACCGUGGAACUGCAUUGGAAACUGGAUAGCUCGAGUAUUGGAGGGGGUCGCGGAAUUCCCGGUGUAGAGGUGAAAUUCGUAGAUAUCGGGAGGAACACCAGUGGCGAAGGCGGCGACCUGGCCAUUUACUGACACUGAGACGCGAAAGCGUGGGGAGCAAACAGGAUUAGAUACCCCAGUAGUC
rnacentral:rRNA from 1 species